GGCGGCCCAGGACGAGGAGAAGGCAGCAUUUCACGUUGAGAGAAACCGCCGGGCGCUGGCGAUUGCCGCCGGGCGGUGGCAUGGGAAACCCCCGGGCGGUGGCAUGGGAAACCCCCGGGCGGUGGCGGCAGGAUGUGGCAAACCGCCGGGCGGCACACUCAAACUGCCUGACGGUGGCACGCUAGACUUGGGCCUGAUUUUGACGCGCUCCUCACCUAUAAAUACC
rnacentral:lncRNA from 1 species